AGAGUUUGAUCCUGGCUCAGGAUGAACGCUAGCGGCAGGCUUCAUACAUGCAAGUCGAGGGGCAGCAUAAAUUACUUGUAAUUUGAUGGCGACCGGCGAACGGGUGCGUAACGCGUAUGCAACUUACCUUUUACUAGAGAAUAGCCAAGAGAAAUUUUGAUUAAUGCUCUAUGUUCUUAUUUACUCGCAUGAGUAAAUAAGCAAAGCUCCGGCGGUAAAAGAUGGGCAUGCGUCCUAUUAGCUUGUAGGUGAGGUAAUGGCUCACCUAAGCUCCGAUAGGUAGGGGUCCUGAGAGGGAGAUCCCCCACACUGGUACUGAGACACGGACCAGACUUCUACGGAAGGCAGCAGUAAGGAAUAUUGGACAAUGGAGGCAACUCUGAUCCAGCCAUGCCGCGUGAAGGAAGACGGCCUUAUGGGUUGUAAACUUCUUUUAUACAGGAAGAAACCUUUCCACGUGUGGAAAGCUGACGGUACUGUAAGAAUAAGGAUCGGCUAACUCCGUGCCAGCAGCCGCGGUAAUACGGAGGAUCCAAGCGUUAUCCGGAAUUAUUGGGUUUAAAGGGUCCGCAGGCUGUUUGUUAAGUCAGAGGUGAAAUCCUACCGCUCAACGGUAGAACUGCCUUUGAUACUGGCAAACUUGAGUUAUUGUGAAGUAGUUAGAAUGUGUAGUGUAGCGGUGAAAUGCAUAGAUAUUACACAGAAUACCGAUUGCGAAAGCAGAUUACUAACAAUAUACUGACGCUGAGGGACGAAAGCGUGGGUAGCGAACAGGAUUAGAUACCCUGGUAGUCCACGCCGUAAACGAUGGUCACUAGCUGUUCGAUGUACAUUGGUACGUUGAGUGGCUAAGCGAAAGUGAUAAGUGACCCACCUGGGGAGUACGCUCGCAAGAGUGAAACUCAAAGGAAUUGACGG
rnacentral:rRNA from 1 species